GAUGAAGAACGUAGCGAAAUGCGAUAAGUAAUGUGAAUUGCAGAAUUCAGUGAAUCAUCGAAUCUUUGAACGCACCUUGCACUCCUUGGUAUUCCGAGGAGUACGCCUGUUCGAGUGUUAUGAAGCUCUCAAAACGCAAUUGGCUUAAAACCUGAUUGUUGUUUUGGAUUUGAACUUUGCCGUGUUAUAACGGCUGGUUUUAAAAGUAUUAGCUGGUACUAGAACGAAUUGGUUCUUCUCAACGUGAUAAUUAUCUGAUCGUUGAGGACAUUCCUUUCACGAGGAAUGGCCAUAGUAAAUUCAAUGGACUGCUUCUAAUCUGGCUUUAAUUCUUUAUUGGAUUAACCACUUUUCAAAUCUGACCUCGAAUCAGGUGGGACUACCCGCUGAACUUAAGCAUAUCAAUAAGCGGAGGA
rnacentral:misc_RNA from 1 species